UCGGCCUACGUGCCCUCUUCCGUUCACCAGGAACUGCACUUUGCGUUGACCAUUUCAGCUGUGACUACAUGUCCUCUCUUGAGCUCUCGCAAGUCAUUAUCAGAUAUUUUACCAAAAGCCAUUAUUUCCAUUAUUCUGUAAUCCAGUGUUGUGAGUGAGCCCAAACAAAACCAUUAACAUUUAACAGGCAUCUGACGGAGUGCUGAGGUGGACCUAGCACCAGCAAGAAAUAUUCGUUCAAAUUCCAUUUACCACUGCGAUUUCUCCUGAAAACAGCCACUGUUCCAUCAGCAAGAGCACAGAAGACUCGAUUGUUGGCAUGCCUGAAACAAUAUCACCGAACGUUCAGAUUUGGCAUGAGACUACCAUUGGGGUUAUGAAUGACGUGUGCAGCUGAGUCAAAAAAAAUUAGGCAUGAAAAAAUUUAAAGCAAAAUCAAAAUUAAAAAACUCAC